CGGUUGAUCCUGCCGGACCCGACUGCUAUUUGGGUGAGAGUAAGCCAUGCAAGUUGUAUGGGAUGCCUAAACUUCCCAUAGCAAACUGCUCAGUAACACAUGAUCAACUUACCCUAUAGAGGGAAAUAACCUCGGGAAACUGAGGAUAAUGUCCCAUAAUUGAAUAGGCUUGGAAAAGUUAUUCAAUAAAAAGGAUAAAAAAAAUGGUUUUUAUUCGCUAUAGGAUAGGAUCGUGGUCGAUUAUGGUUGUUGGCGAGAUAACGGCUCACCAAGCCGAUAAUCGAUAGGGGCCGUGAGAGCGGGAGCCCCGAGAUGGGUACUGAGACACCGACCCAGGCCUUACGAGGCGCAGCAGGCGCGAAACCUCCGCAAUACACGAAAGUGUGACGGGGUUACCCAAAGUGUUCAAUUAUGAACUGUGGUAGGUGAGUAAUGUCCCCUACUAGAAAGGAGAGGGCAAGGCUGGUGCCGGCCGCCGCGGUAAAACCAGCUCUUCAAGUGGUCGGGAUAAUUAUUGGGCUUAAAGUGUCCGUAGCCGGUUUAGUAAGUUCCUGGUAAAAUCGGGUAGCUUAACUAUCUGUAUGCUAGGAAUACUGCUAUACUAGAGGGCGGGAGAGGUCUGAGGUACUAUGGGGGUAGGGGUGAAAUCUUAUAAUCCUUGUAGGACCACCAGUGGCGAAGGCGUCAGACUGGAACGCGCCUGACGGUGAGGGACGAAAGCCAGGGGAGCGAACCGGAUUAGAUACCCGGGUAGUCCUGGCCGUAAACGAUGCAUACUAGGUGAUGGUAUGGCCAUGAGCCAUAUCAGUGCCGUAGGGAAACCGUUAAGUGUGCCGCCUGGGAAGUACGGUCGCAAGGCUAAAACUUAAAGGAAUUGGCGGGGGAGCAC
rnacentral:rRNA from 1 species